UGCAUUUCUAACAAGCUCACAAAUAAUCUCAAUGUUGCUGGUCUGGGGAUGGGUUGUUUUGAAGACUGCUGUGUUAGAGAUACUUCUCUAAGCAAAAAGAACAGAAAGUGAGACAAACUAUGAUUGAGAAGUUUCCAGGUGAAGAGGCAGGAGAAAAGGAUGUCUCUAGGCCUGGAGGGGACAGAGAGAUGGCACUUUGGGAAACGGAGGAGGUGACAAUGGAAGCUUUUCUCUCAGGAUAUUGUGAGCUCUCUGAAGGCAGAGACCAUGCUUUAUUUAUUUAUCACUAUAUCCCCAACAUUUGCUGCACAAUAGAUUCUCAAUAACUGCUGAAAGAAGAUUCAAUAAAUAUAUGCAUACAAGAAGUGGCUGAGAUUCCUGCACAUAUAGC